rnacentral:rRNA from 1 species
GAUGAGCGCUAGCGGGAGGCCUAACACAUGCAAGCCGAGCGGUAUUUGUCUUUCGGGACAGAGAGAGCGGCGUACGGGUGCGGAACACGUGUGCAACCUGCCUUUAUCAGGGGGAUAGCCUUUCGAAAGGAAGAUUAAUACCCCAUAAUAUAUCUGAUGGCAUCAUUAGAUAUUGAAAACUCCGGUGGAUAGAGAUGGGCACGCGCAAGAUUAGAUAGUUGGUGAGGUAACGGCUCACCAAGUCAGUGAUCUUUAGGGGGCCUGAGAGGGUGAUCCCCCACACUGGUACUGAGACACGGACCAGACUCCUACGGGAGGCAGCAGUGAGGAAUAUUGGACAAUGGGUGCGAGCCUGAUCCAGCCAUCCCGCGUGAAGGACGACGGUUCUAUGGAUUGUAAACUUCUUUUAUACUGGGAUAAACCUACUCUCGUGAGGGUAGCUGAAGGUACAGUAUGAAUAAGCACCGGCUAACUCCGUGCCAGCCGCCGCAGUAA